UGGCCCUUUUGGCUUCACCUCCUGUUCUGCUCCCCAGGCCCGAUGUUCUUACUGCUGGGUCCUCGGCAGGACUCUGUGCUCUUGACUCUGCUUCACAAAGCUCCAGAUGCCAACCUUGACUUUUAAGCAACAAGAUUGAAGCUCCCUCAUCUUCCCUACAACAAAGCUACACACCUACCUGCCCCUACAUCCUGUUGUAGGAUUCGGACACCGCUGAUGUUCUUCAGAGGCGGCCUGCUCCCUCUGAUGUGCACUAUCUUCUCCAUCCUACUUGUUCCAGGACUCCUCGCUGGCAAAGCCUAAGUGGAUUCAGAGGGCAGCAGAGCCCGUUGUACUGCAAACAGCUUCCACUAGCAGAGAGCAAGUUUUUAUGAAUAAAAAUGGGAGGAAGAGCAUGACCUGUGUCCCAGAGGACCCAGGAGCUUGCUGGGAGUGGGCACCUGGUGCUGAGGCUGCCAAAUGCUUGUUUCUGAGUAAGUACAAAAGGAGAGGGACUAUUUCCCUGUGGUUCCAGAGCUUCAGCCGGGAGGGGAGAAGCACUGGGCAGCUGUGUUCCUUGGCCAGUGACUACAUCGGCUCGGUGUUGUGUAAUGCUAACUGUUUUGGAGCCUUACUUAAGAAAUUCCGAAUGUCAGGAAAACUACACAAUUGAAAGUAACUACUGAAGUCUUAAG